GUGCCAGCAGCCGCGGUAAUACGGAGGAGGCAAGCGUUAUCCGGAAUUAUUGGGCGUAAAGCGUCCGCAGGUGGCACUUCAAGUCUGCCGUCAAAGACCGGGGCUUAACCCCAGAAAGGCGGUGGAAACUGAAGCGCUAGAGUGCGGUAGGGGUAGAGGGAAUUCCCGGUGUAGCGGUGAAAUGCGUAGAGAUCGGGAAGAACAUCGGUGGCGAAAGCGCUCUACUGGACCGCAACUGACACUGAGGGACGAAAGCUAGGGGAGCGAAUGGGAUUAGAAACCCUGGUAGUCC
rnacentral:rRNA from 1 species